AGCGAACGCUGGCGGCAGGCCUAACACAUGCAAGUCGAACGAACUCUUCGGAGUUAGUGGCGGACGGGUGAGUAACACGUGGGAACGUGCCUUUUGGUUCGGAAUAACUCAGGGAAACUUGUGCUAAUACCGAAUGUGCCCUUCGGGGAAAGAUUUAUCGCCAUUAGAGCGGCCCGCGUCUGAUUAGCUUGUUGGUGAGG
rnacentral:rRNA from 1 species